UAUUUAUUUUGGACCCCUGAUCAAACACAUAAACACGAGAUAGAUAGGUUUCGCUCACGACACUGCUUACCCAUUUCAUUUAUUUUCGUCACACGCUUAGACCAUAGCUUCUUACAUUUGGGACCCCACCAAGCACCAAAACACCAACAGCCUGUUAUUCUAUGGAAUAACAGUUCCCAAUCAAAAACAAAAAACUGGCACUCCUACCUAUUUAUUUUAAAAUAAAAAAGAUCCCAUUUCCUAGUUUUGACUUUGGUCGUGCACUAUCUUAUUAUUUGACAUGGCAGAGGGAGAGGGUUGUGGCUGUGUUGCGUUCAAACUGUGACGUUUGUCAUCUUAAAUUAACUCACAUGUGAAUCGACGACGCAGACCCGGAAAUGGAGUGGGAUUAGUUAUAAAUACUAAUUAUUAAUAUUAAUGAAGGAAAAUUAAAGAGAGAGAGAGAGAGAGUGCGGCUGCAGGAAAAGUAACAAUGGAGCCACGACACUAUACAAGUCACCCACCCAACCCUUUCAUUUCAUAUUCACAGCAUCGUAAUUAUAAACACCAAAAAAAGUACACAACCAGUCAACAACUACACCAAACAUUAUGCAGUGGCAAAACAAAAUAGAGGAGCUAGCCAGUAGUAUUUGCCACCAAAACAACAUAAUAAUCUUCCCACCAUUUAUAUUACGAAAUUACCCCUGGCGGAGAAUCUACCCCUCGCGAAUACCAACAACUAUCACCAAGACCACACCACACCACAUGCACAGGCACAGGCUGUUCAUCCAAAAAACAGUUGCAACUUCCUUCCAAGGAAGAAUACUAGUACGUGUUAAGAAGAAUCAAGCCAUGCGUUGAAUUGAAUCAAGGCAACAGGAAUAGGGUAGUCCUCAAGAAGAGAAAAAACGCUGACGACAGACACGGGGGCUCCGGCGAGCGGCGAGCGGCGAGGGUAGGCGGAAAUGGAGGCAAGGCUCGUGUUCGUGUAUGGCAUUUUCGUCCAUUCGAAGAGAAGAAAGUGACACGCCACACCACACCACACCAACGUGUUAUGGAGCCACACAACACACAAAAACAGAGUUUGUUGUUGGGCGUUUUACUGAGACGCGAGGACACGUGAAAGGAAUGCGUGAGACACGCAGGGUGAGUCAGAGUCAGAGAGAGAGAGAGAGAGAGAGAGUAGCGAACCUUAGAUCUUGAGGUCUGGGAUGGUUUGGACUCCUCGUAGCCAUCGAGGUUGCCGCCGCUUGCUGACGUGGCGCCGCUCCAUGAGAGCGGCGUGGUGGGGCUGGCCCUGGUGGACUCCGCUUUGUUGUGAGCGGAUCUGGAGCGGCGCUGACGCACCGUCCAGUGGAGGUUGAGGCAGGGCGGCGGAGGCGGAGAGCGGUGGAGGCGGAGGAGAAGGUCGACGACCAGGGAGUCGUCGGCCAUGGCGACCUUGACCCAGUGAUCGUCGCACAUCUGAUUGGAAGAAGUGGUGGGUGUCGUUGGAAUGUUAAAUAAAAAUGAAUGGAAGGGAUGAGUUUAUAUGAUGUGCCUCCCUGCCUCCGUCUGUGCUGCAUAUCACCACUCAUCACAAAUCAAAUAACCACACAUUAAAUUAUGUUUUA